rnacentral:rRNA from 1 species
UACGAAGGGGGGCUAGCGUUGCUCGGAAUUACUGGGCGUAAAGCGCACGUAGGCGGCGUGACAAGUCACUUGUGAAAUCUCCGGGCUUAACUCGGAACGGUCAAGUGAUACUGUUGUGCUAGAGUACAGAAGGGGCAAUCGGAAUUCUUGGUGUAGCGGUGAAAUGCGUAGAUAUCAAGAGGAACACCAGAGGCGAAGGCGGAUUGCUGGGCUGAUACUGACGCUGAGGCGCGAAAGCUAGGGUAGCAAACGGG